rnacentral:rRNA from 1 species
GCGCACCAGGCGCGAAAACUUCACACUGUGCGAAAGCACGAUGAGGGAAUCCCAAGUGCUUGCACGUAAGUGUAAGCUGUUUCUCUGUCUAAAACGCAGAGAGAGUAAGGGCUGGGUAAGACGGGUGCCAGCCGCCGCGGUAAUACCUGCAGCUCAAGUGGUGACCGUUAUUAUUGGGCCUAAAACGUCCGUAGCCGGUUUAAUAAAUGCCUGGGUAAAUUGUGUAGCUUAACUAUACGAAUUCCGGGUAGACUGUUAAACUUGAGACCGGGAGAAGUUAGAGGUACUCCUGGGGUAGAGGUGAAAUUCUGUAAUCCUAGGGGGACCACCAGUGGCGAAGGCGUCUAACUAGAACGGGUCUGACGGUGAGGGACGAAGCCCUGGGGCGCAAACGGGAUUAGAUACCCCUGUAGU